UGGGGAAUAUUGGACAAUGGGCGAAAGCCUGAUCCAGCCAUGCCGCGUGUGUGAAGAAGGUCUUCGGAUUGUAAAGCACUUUAAGUUGGGAGGAAGGGCAUUAACCUAAUACGUUAGUGUUUUGACGUUACCGACAGAAUAAGCACCGGCUAACUCUGUGCCAGCAGCCGCGGUAAUACAGAGGGUGCAAGCGUUAAUCGGAAUUACUGGGCGUAAAGCGCGCGUAGGUGGUUUGUUAAGUUGGAUGUGAAAUCCCCGGGCUCAGCCUGGGAACUGCAUUCAAAACUGACUGACUAGAGUAUGGUAGAGGGUGGUGGAAUUUCCUGUGUAGCGGUGAAAUGCGUAGAUAUAGGAAGGAACACCAGUGGCGAAGGCGACCACCUGGACUAAUACUGACACUGAGGUGCGAAAGCGUGGGGAGCAAACA
rnacentral:rRNA from 1 species